CUGGCAUGGCGACAGUAUCGUCUAAAGCUGUUCCAGAACCCAUCUCAUACACCAAAUGACCUUGGAAUAAGGAAAACAAUUAGCAAAUCAAUGUCUAGAACUGGCCACAAAUACGGAUGCUGGAAAAACAGGAUACCACAGGCAACAAAUUAUAGGAAGUUCUCAGCAACAAAGUCAUGUUGUGGCAGAAAGCAAGCUUGAACAGUAAUUGUGCAAACAAGGACGGUUAUUUUUGCAACGACCAUGUAGGAACAUUACCGUCCUUUAAUCUGCACCAGGGAUACACCUACUUGGGAAGAGAGCACACAGCAUUUUUCAACUUGAAAGGAAUUUGACAAAUUGUGGCUGG
rnacentral:misc_RNA from 1 species